UCCCGGCAGUCCAAGUCGCAGCCAACAUUAUUGGGUCUAAAACAUCCGUAGCUUGUUUAUUAAGUUCUUUGUGAAAUCCGGCAUCUUAAGUGUCGGGCGAGCAGAGAAUACUGGUAAGCUAGAGACCGGAAGAUGCAAGGAGUACAUUUAAGGUAGUGGUAAAAUACGUUAAUCUUAAAUGGACUAACAAUUGGCGAAGGCACCUUGCAAGUACGGAUCUGACAGUGAGGGAUGAAGGCCAGGGGCGCAAAAU
rnacentral:rRNA from 1 species